rnacentral:lncRNA from 1 species
GGAAGGGCUUGUUCAUUAUUUUGAGAGUUUGUUGUGAACGUCAUAACCCUUCGUCCUUAAAUAUUGCCGAUACUUGACCUACGCAAGAGACAAUGUCAUGUGAUUCAGCCUAAUAUCUCAGAGGAUGCAGCAUUCAAGGUUCUAUCUUGGAAGCAGAGACUGUGCCCUCACCAGAUGCUGAACCUGCUGAGCACCCUGAUCUUCCACUUCACCUUCAUCAGAACUACUGGGGCUGUGGCUGAGAUGUCACAUGGGAG